CCUAGUUGGUUCCUCCAGCAUUUGCAUCAGAACGUUGUCCGCAACACUCUCCAAAAACAUCCUGGAUUGUCUAUGCACUGCUGGGUUGGUCUCCCAGCAGA